GGGGGUAUAGCUCUGUGGUAGAGCAUUUGACUGUAGCUUAAGAGGUCCCUGGUUCAACUCUGAGUGCCCCCU